UCAGGACGAACGCUGGCGGCGUGCUUAACACAUGCAAGUCGAGCGAUGAAGCUCCUUCGGGAGUGGAUUAGCGGCGGACGGGUGAGUAACACGUGGGCAACCUGCCUGUAGAGAGGAAUAGCCAUUCGAAAGGAUGAUUAAUACCUCAUAAUAUUGUAGCUUCGCAUGAAGCAACAACCAAAGGAGCAAUCCACUACAAGGAUCGGGCCCGCGGCGCAUUAGCUAGGUUGGUGGGGUAACGGCUCACCAAGGCGACGAUGCGUAGCCGACCUGAGAGGGUGAUCGGCCACAUUGGGACUGAGACACGGCCCAGACUCCUACGGGAGGCAGCAGUGGGGAAUAUUGCACAAUGGGGGGAAACCCUGAUGCAAGCAACGCCGCGUGAGUGAUGACGGUCUUCGGAUUGUAAAGCUCUGUCUUCAGGGACGAUAAUGACGGUACCUGAGGAGGAAGCCACGGCUAACUACGUGCCAGCAGCGGC
rnacentral:rRNA from 1 species